CCUAUGAGGCCAUGGGUGACAGUGAAGUGUUAGUCGUAGUGGAAAGCUCAGGAUGUUAGAGAGGACGAGAUCAUGGAUAAUCUGCCAAAAACAGUGGGACCAGUCUAACCCCACAAGAUAAGCAGUGUGUGCUGUGGAUGACAGAGCCAGAUGAGUGGGACAACCCUUUGGAGCCCUGAAGACCCUGAGUGAACCCCAGAUGAGCUGCUGGUCUAAGGAAAUGACUUACUGAGAUUUUUCAAGGUUGAAAUUGGGAUUCUGGAAAUAAACUCCUCACCCCACAGACCAAAGGACAGGCAGGGAAAUACAAACAAUCUUGAUUCCCCCCUCGUGAAGCUUACCGAGUCAGUCACCCAGCACCUUGAUACUCAAAGUGUAAAAGCAAAUAAGAUCAGUGAAUUCACCGCGACCCGUGAGCCAGGUUGCACACUCCCAGGCCUCAGAGCUGUUG